rnacentral:rRNA from 1 species
GACGAACGCUGGCGGCGUGCCUAAUACAUGCAAGUCGAGCGGACCGGAUUGGGGCUUGCCUUGAUUCGGUCAGCGGCGGACGGGUGAGUAACACGUGGGCAACCUGCCCGCAAGACCGGGAUAACUCCGGGAAACCGGAGCUAAUACCGGAUAACACCGAAGACCGCAUGGUCUUCGGUUGAAAGGCGGCCUUUGGGCUGUCACUUGCGGAUGGGCCCGCGGCGCAUUAGCUAGUUGGUGAGGUAACGGCUAACCAAGGCGACGAUGCGUAGCCGGCCUGAGAGGGUGACCGGCCACACUGGGACUGAGACACGGCCCAGACUCCUACGGGAGGCAGCAGUAGGGAAUCUUCCGCAAUGGGCGAAAGCCUGACGGAGCGACGCCGCGUGAGCGAAGAAGGCCUUCGGGUCGUAAAGCUCUGUUGUGAGGGACGAAGGAGCGCCGUUCGAAGAGGGCGGCGCGGUGACGGUACCUCACGAGAAAGCCCCGGCUAACUACGUGCCAGCCGCCGCAGUAA